GAUCCUGGCUCAGGAUGAACGCUGACAGAAUGCUUAACACAUGCAAGUCUACUUGAACUUCGGUUUGGGUGGCGGACGGGUGAGUAACGCGUAAAGAACUUGCCUCACAGUUAGGGACAACAUUUGGAAACGAAUGCUAAUACCUGAUAUUAUGAUUUUAGGGUCGAUCCUAACGAUUAUGAAAGACUAUAUGUGCUGUGAGAGAGCUUUGUCGUCCCACUUAGCUAGUUGGUAGGAGGUAACGGG
rnacentral:rRNA from 1 species